AAAUUAAAAUAUAUUGGUGGUAGAGGAGACUGCCAAAUCAUAAUGAAUAUUUUGAAGAAGGUGAUGUCGGACGCACUAGCUGAAGAGAACACUUGGGUGAAGAGCUGCCAAAACAAAGAAAGUUGUUUAAAUACCUGAAGUUAUAGCAGUUUAUUUUACUUAUUUACAAAAAAGGCAUAGAAAAGUUAAAUUGGGAGUUUGGACAUUGGAGCUUUGGAGUUUCCAGACAUCGAAAGUGUAGAAUCUGAUGCUGAAACAAAGAAAACAACGCCGGCAACUUCAAUUCUCCAAUUCUUCAGAUGAAGACACUGUAGUAAAGAAGCCAGCGAAGCUGCACUUGCCAUUGCUACAAGAGUGCACACUGGCAAAAUAUUUUCAACCAGAAAUUUCUGCAUCUGUUACAACUAGUCUUCACUGCAGCUCUGAGAACUAUAAUACUCGGAAAGCAGACUUAUCAGAAAGAUUUAAUAAAGAGAUAGUGCGAAUUCAUCUCCCUGGAGUAACUGAAGAGAAAGUUGCUACUAUAACAGCUAACUGGUUGAAGUAUGCAAAGCAAGGUUAAAGAAAGAAAUGAAACGAAGGUGAAAGAGGCAUUGUAAACUUAUAUUAUGAAAAUAUGAAUCAUAUUAUAAAAAUUCCAUGAAGGCCAUUUGAAAAACAUAUUGUAUAUAUUUAUGUAAUUGUUGAUAUAGAUAAAAUGUGUUAUUAACAGUAUUAACAGCAUUAAGAAAAUGCUUCAUAAAAUAUAUUAAAAGGAUCUUUAAAAUUUUUACACAUGAAAUGAAUUUAAGUUUGUUAUGGAAUUGAUAUUUUUACAUCUGUACGAGGUGUGACCCCCCCAAAAAGAGAGAGAGACUGUGUAACUUCAAAAGAAGAGUGGAGUUGGCAACAACUGCUUUGGUGACGUAAUUCCACACCUCUUCUAUCCAUGUGGCCACUUUUGACAUAACCGAUCACACCAAUUAGGAGUACUGCGUCAUUGAGUGAACAUGUGCAACUGCAUUCUGCAAGAAAAAAUGUCUAAUGUAAAAAUCCAAUAGCGAAUCAACAUCAAGUUUCUUGUGAAACUUAAGAAAUCAGCCACGGAAAUAUUUCAAAUGUUAACUGAGGUUUAUAGAGAUGAAACUUUGUCUUGUGCACAUGUGUUUGAAUGGCAUAAGCGAUUUUCAGAGAGAAGGGACAAAGCACACAUGUCAAAAUCAAAAUUUAAGACAAUGUUAAUUGCCUUCCUUGACAUUAAUGGAAUUGUAAUGAUUGAGUAGGUUCCAAGUGAUCAGACUGUUAAUUAACACUACUACACUUAAGUACUAAAAAGAAUUCGUGAAAAAAGCCACAUUUGUGAAAUGAUGGAUCUCUGUUGCACCAGGACAAUGCACCCACUCACAUGGCCCUAUCUGUCAAGCAGUUUUUAAUCAGCAAAAACAUUACUGUGAUGGGGCAUUCUGCUUAUUCACCUGAUUUGGCUCCAUGCGACUUUUUUUUUUAUUUCCUAAAACUAAAUCUUGCUUAAAGGGAAGCCAUUUUACCUCAAUUGAAGAGGUUCAUGCAAAAAGUGGAGAAUCUCCUGAAAGGCAUUCCAAAAACCUUGUUCCAGAACUGUUACCAGCAAUGGCAGCACUGAAUGCAGAAAUGUGUGAAUGAAGGGGACUACUUUGAAGGUGAUAAUGUCACAGAGAACUGAUUCUGUAAGUACAAUGAUUUACUGGACCAAUCUUGUAUUUUUUGUGUCACACCUCAUACAUUUAUUAAUUAAAACUUUCUUACAUUUAUUGCAAAAAGGACUAAUUUUAGAUGUUUAAUUUCAUUUACAUAGCAGUGUUCACUAUAAGUAUUCGUUGUACUACUUAAUAUUCAAAUGAAGAAAUAUAAAUUUUAUUAGCACAAAAACUUCUAUCAAUAUAUGUUUUAAAUGCAGAAAAACAUAAAUACACAAAAAACAAAUUAUUUCAACAAUAUGAUGAUCAGCACAGCAUUUUGAUAGUAGGAUGUAAUUAUUCCCUUAACUGCUCAAAAAUCCUUUGUUGAGACAUACCACAUAUCAAUAUGAAAGUCCCAUGCACAAUUCAGGCUGUCAAUACUAUGAGUAGAUAUUUUCUAAUUACAGUACACUCCCGAUUAUCCGCGGAAUUGGGUGGCGCGGCCACCACGAAUAACAGAAAAUGCGGAUAAUCUGAAAAAAGCUAAAAAUGGGUAUAGCAAAUAAGAAAACAGUCAUUCAAAUUUUGAAAAAUCGUUUUAUGUACAAUAAAAUGUAAAAUAAACAGCAGGAAAUGUUUAACUAAUGCUUAAUAUUUUAGCUUAUUACGCUUAAUAUAUUCUCCCCAUGAAGUGCAAUUUCUCGAAUUCCAUGUCGCUGCUUAAAACGAGUCAACCAGCCAGAAGACGCAUCAAAAUUUCCUUUCAUGCCUAACAACUCAAAAAAGGUUUUUGCCUUCGCCGCAAUGAUAGGAC